rnacentral:rRNA from 1 species
CACCGCCGCGGUAAUACGUAGGUGGCAAGCGUUGUCCGGAAUUAUUGGGCGUAAAGCGCGCGCAGGUGGUUUAAUAAGUCUGAUGUGAAAGCCCACGGCUCAACCGUGGAGGGUCAUUGGAAACUGUUAAACUUGAGUGCAGGAGAGAAAAGUGGAAUUCCUAGUGUAGCGGUGAAAUGCGUAGAGAUUAGGAGGAACACCAGUGGCGAAGGCGGCUUUUUGGCCUGUAACUGACACUGAGGCGCGAAAGCGUGGGGAGCAAACAGGAUUAGAUACCCCCGUAGUCCCUGUCUCUUAUACA